rnacentral:rRNA from 1 species
UACGUAGGUGGCAAGCGUUGUCCGGAAUUAUUGGGCGUAAAGCGCGCGCAGGCGGCCUCUUAAGUCUGAUGUGAAAGCCCCCGGCUCAACCGGGGAGGGCCAUUGGAAACUGGGAGGCUUGAGUAUAGGAGAGAAGAGUGGAAUUCCACGUGUAGCGGUGAAAUGCGUAGAGAUGUGGAGGAACACCAGUGGCGAAGGCGACUCUUUGGCCUAUAACUGACGCUGAGGCGCGAAAGCGUAGGGAGCAAACAGG